rnacentral:rRNA from 1 species
CCUACGGGAGGCAGCAGUGGGGAAUAUUGCGCAAUGGGGGAAACCCUGACGCAGCAACGCCGCGUGAGUGAGGAAGGACUUCGGUCUGUAAAGCUCUGUUAAUGUGGAAAAAUGGUAGUUGGUCUAAUAGGCCGAUUAUUUGAUGGUACACAUAGAGGAAGCACCGGCUAACUUCGUGCCAGCAGCCGCGGUAAUACGAAGGGUGCAAGCGUUGUUCGGAUUUAUUGGGCGUAAAGCGCGCGUAGGCGGACCUGUAAGUCAGAUGUGAAAUCUCGGGGCUCAACCUCGAAACUGCGUCUGAAACUGCAGGUCUAGAAUCUCGGAGGGGGAAGGGGAAUUUCGCAUGUAGGGGUAAAAUCCGUAGAUAUGCGAAGGAACACCAGAGGCGAAGGCGCCUUCCUGGACGAGUAUUGACGCUGAGGCGCGAAAGCGUGGGGAUCAAACAGGAUUAGAUACCCUGGUAGUCCACGCUGUAAACUAUGAACACUAGGUAUUGGAGGAUUUGACCCCUUCAGUGCCGUAGCUAACGCGUUAAGUGUUCCGCCUGGGAAAGUACGGUCGCAAGCAAAACUCAAAUGAAAUUGACCGGNNGAGAGNGCGAGACGACGACGAGGAGAGG